CCUAUUAUUGAACUUCUAGUAUUUCUGGUUAAUGAAGCCUUUGCUUUAGCAAUGGGGAUAAUUGUCCCAGCCAUGUCUGCUAUUCAAAUCAAGAGCCCCUCUUUGUUACACUCUUCAUGAAACCAGUAAAUGGCAUGAUAAAUUUUUCCAUAACAGAGUCACUGUCAACAAAUGCUAUUUCCUCCUUAAACAAUCAGAGUUGUAUAUAGUUUUUUUCCAAGGAUGUCAAGGCA